ACAUGAGUUUGGAUUUAUGGUAGGCUUGUCCCUCUGGGCCUCUCAAAGUGCCCCAUGCCAGAACAAACUGGCCCCUAACUAUUACCUAGUCUUUGCCUAUGGGCAGGUGCAACUGAAGCGAGUUGCACAGAA
rfam:Tupaia chinensis contig2798, whole genome shotgun sequence.